CUACGGGGGGCAGCAGUCGAGAAUCUUCCGCAAUGGGCGCAAGCCUGAUGGAGCAAUGCCGCGUGAGGGAUGACGGCCCUAGGGUUGUAAACCUCUGUCAGAAGGGACGAAGAACGUGACGGUACCUUCAGAGGAAGCCAUGGCUAACUACGUGCCAGCAGCCGCGGUAAUACGUAGAUGGCGAGCGUUAUUCGGAUUUACUGGGCGUAAAGGGUCCGUAGGGGGUCUGCCAAGUCUGAUGUGAAAUCCUGCGGCUCAACCGCGGAACUGCAUUGGAAACUGGCGGACUAGAGUGUGCGAGGGGUGAGCGGAAUUCCUGGUGUAGCGGUGGAAUGCGUAGAUAUCAGGAAGAACACCGAUGGCGAAGGCGGCUCACUGGCGCAUCACUGACCCUGAGGGACGAAAGCGUGGGUAGCAAACAGGAUUAGAUACCCUUGUAGUC
rnacentral:rRNA from 1 species